rnacentral:lncRNA from 1 species
CCGGCGCCAUCUUGUAGGCGCUGUACUCUGCAGCUCCCAACAGAAGUAUGUGCCAAGAAAUUAUUGGGCAGCCCAGAGACUGCAACAAACAUCUAGGGCAAAGCACUCAAGUGUGAAAAACUGGAAACGUGGCCGAAGGUCAG